UAUCUAAAGCGCCAGGACUAUUUUCGUUCGGCAUGAAAAUAGUUGACGAGGAGGAGGUUCAUCGAGCUUUCGGCGGAUGCCUCCCGGUUGUGACACUUCAACCGUCUGUUCAGCUUUUAAAACAAAGAGGCGACUCUUUCGGACAACAAAGCUGGAU
rnacentral:ncRNA from 1 species